GAUGAAGAACGUAGCGAAAUGCGAUAAGUAAUGUGAAUUGCAGAUUUCAGUGAAUCAUCGAAUCUUUGAACGCACCUUGCGCUCCUUGGUAUUCCGAGGAGCAUGCCUGUUUGAGUGUCAUUAAAUUCUCAACUCUCCAACUGUUGUCAUGACUGGUGGUAGAGCUUGGACGUGAGGGUUCUGCCGGCUCCUUGUUGAGUCUGGCUCCCUUGAAAAUGAUUAGCGCAGCUUUGCACUGUCCGCUUCAGGUGUGAUAGUUUAUCUACGCCCGACUAGCGACGCGCAUGAAUGGCUUUGUGCUUCUAACCGUCUCGAAAGAGACAAUACCUUUUGAACUUGACCUCAAAUCAGGUAGGACUACCCGCUGAACUUAAGCAUAUCAAUAAGCGGAGGA
rnacentral:misc_RNA from 1 species